AGCAACAAGCUCCCAGCGCUCAGCGAGAUCCUACAUCCCGCGGUUCCUCGCUUCCAGUUGCCUGUUUAUUUUGGACCAAAACAAAAUUGCAUCAGUGCAAUUUCAUUGAUUGCAAGUAAAUGAAAUCAUUCCGUAGUCGUCGUCGUCCUCGUCGCACAGCCAACAUUCAGUGCAGGACACAAAACCCCUGGCAGUGCAUUUGUGCUUUAAGGGCAAGAACCACUUUACGUAUUUUCGGGCACGCUUUGCUCUGCUCCAAAGAGACUGCUCCUUUCUGGCUCCUGCCAGUUACUCAAUCUGCAAAAUGCAGUACAGUACCCCCUGCUGCUAUUUGUUUGCCCAACAAUCGAUGCACAUAUCUUAAGAGAGAAUAGUUAAAAAGAUGCGCAUCAAGGGCGAAUUUGUAUGGGAAGAAAAGACUUUCCACGGUAACCCCCUAGGGAGUUGCACACUAAAUUGAAUUGAAACGAAAAUGGGUAGUAAAGGGUUGUAAAUUUAAUGAAUCGCGUUAACUCCCAUUCAGAGUUCCC
rnacentral:lncRNA from 1 species